UAAAUUUAUUUAUGUGACAUUUUAAUGGUGUAAAGGAAUUGAAUUUAACAAUAAAUUUUAAUGGUGUUAACAAUUUUAAAUUUUACAUCAAUUUUUUUAAAAUAAGAUACAAUAGGCAUAUUGCAAUUUGAGUCCUCUUACUAUUUAGUAUUAUAAUUUAAUAUUUUUUCCGCAUAAAAUUUUUAAGUUUGGCCCAACAAUUUAUAUUCUUAUAUUAGCCCUCAAUCGAAGCCAUGUGACUCACGGUCUAAAAAUAAUUUUUUUAAAAAAAUCUGAUUUCAAACUUUUUUCUCAUAGUCGUUUGCUUCUUUAUUAUUUUACCCAACGACUGUGCUAACUUCUGAGUUGGCUACUACCUAUUUUUUUGUCCCUCCCACCAACUUUUUUUUCUCCUCGUUUACUCUACGUGUUUUCUCCCUUUUUAGUUUGUAGAUUUAUUUUGUAGGUGCCUUUAUUGUUUUCACAAGUCAUGAUGGACAGAUGACGAUGCUUGUCAUCUCUAAAACUCCACCGACCACCAGCGGUUUCUCUUGAAAAGUGGUUUGGUGGAUGCUCAGUUCUUUUGUCAAUUUUGCCAGCCCACUGCCUUUGGACCAUCCAGGGCUGAUUUUCUUCUUGUGAUAGUUGAUUGCAAUCACUCUAGAUAUGUCGUGCUUGAAUUGUGACAAAAUCGAUUUUCAAUGUAUUGUAAUAUUUUGUUGAUAUUAAGACUUGCGAUGAGCGUUUAUUGUUUUUUUUUUACCUAAAUUAUAGAUCUCAUUUAUGAAGUGAAUUAAUAAAUUUUCUCCUAA